UUGUGGGAUCUUAGUUCCCCAACCAGGGAUCGAACCCACGCCCUGGGCAAUGAAAGCGUGAAGUCCUAACCACUGGACCACCAGGGAAUUCCCCCAAGGACCUUCCUGUCAUCCCUAAAAUACCAAGCAGAGAGCCACCAUUUCAACAGAGGCUUGAAAGAAUAGAAUGAUAAUUCAUUAGUGUCAUAUACUAAAAGCCAUUGACUGAGAGCCAGUGGUAUAGAAAAGUUAAGAAAGUGGACUCCGCUUGGGUUUAAAUCCCGGCUCUGCUACUUACCACUCAUUUAACCUCAUCUGUAUGAGGGGGAUAAUAAUGUCUCAGCUUCUGAAAAGUAAAUGAGCUGAGAGGUUGCCUGGAGUGUGUGAGGACUCAAAAAAUGUUGGUUAGAUAUUCUGAUCUUUCUAAUCUUUGUUGGCAAAUAAACAAGAAAAUAAGGCUUUGAAGGCCCUGGCCAUUAGUUCUGUGUAGGGAAAAACAGCCAGAGAGUAAGGCUGAGACAAGGGUCCUACCUCAGCUAAUUGCAUUUCAACAGCCCCUGGGAGGCAGUGUGGCCCAGGGGUAGUGAAUCUGUGCUGGGAGUCAGAAGCCCUGGGUUUCCGUUCCUCCUCAGCCUGAGGCCAAGAUCAAGUAUGGCCAAGGGCAAGACAGGGUGUCUCUGACCCUCAGCUUACCCACCUGUAAAAUGGGGAUGAUCAUUCUGCCAGGCCCACACACAAGGUCGUUUUGAAGACCAAAUGAGAAAAUGUUCCAUGAAGGUUAAUGGUAACUCAGUUCACCUGUGUUGAGUGCCCACCUACUGUGUGCUGAGCACAGGAGAAUGAAAUUAGGCCUGCUCUCUCCCUAAACAAGUGCCCAGAAGACAGGACAUGUACCCAGACAGCCACAGUCUAUGGGUGAAAGUGCUAAGGGAGUCUGAUUACGGAAGGAAGAAGUAUCUUUAUGGUUGAGUCUUAUGAGGAGAUUCAGGGAGGAUGUACUGAAUGGUGCCCAGUGCACUCAGCAGCUCCCCUUCUAGAGCCUCAUCCAGCAGAUGUACCUGCUCAUGCCAGACGACCUGAGGUCAAGGCUGUUCACUGUAGCAUGCUGUAUAGCUGCAUAAGUUCAGAGCCCCCUAAAACACCCACCAAAGAGAGAAUAUGUGGGCUCUAUAGCAGAAUAAGGAAAAGUUCUUUGUGAACCGACAUGUCAAUUUGGGCUUCCUUCCCCUUCCUCCGGAUGCUCUCAGACCCUGAACUUGUGUCUACCAUAGUCAUUUUCAUGGGCUCCUUGAAUUAGAAGUGUCCUUGAUAACAAGGAAAGCUAUGACCUGCAAGUGCGUGAACAUAGGCCCCACUGGGCCCCAAGCCCCAGAGAAGGGUUACUGUCCUCUUUCUAUAAAGAAAAUGAGGCCCAGGUUUGCCAGGGCAGCACAGCCAAUAGAUGCUGGGCUGGGAUUUGUCCUACAACUGACUUCCUGGUUGUUUUAUGUAUCUGUUGCUCCGCCCCCUUUGAGACUAUUCAUUCUGUAAGGGCUGCGGUCAGUUUUCUUAUCCUCUCCUUCAGGGCCAGGCAAAGUCCACCCCCUUAGGAAAUAUUAAUUCUUGAGAUAGGGAUGGUCCUAAGAAGGAGAUGCCGGGGUAGGACCGUCCCUAAGGAAUCUGUGUGUGUGUGGUGGGGGGGGUGGUGGAGUGUAGGGGUGAACAAGUUGGUUCCGGGUUGGUUCAGAGGGAAGGGGGGAAGCUGAGCAUUACCAUCUGAGAGAAAAGGUGUGGUGGUGAAACAAGACAGGACAGAUACAGUUCCCAUCUUGGGAACUUGGGGAAUUAAGGGAAUUUGCCGGAAGUGGACAGGUGGUGGGCCAGAGGGGAGCAAAAACCAUCUUCCAUUUUCAUCUAAACGUCUCAGAAGGUCCCUAUGUAAGAAACCUACAUAUAGACUCCCUCAGGUACAGACACACUUUACCAUCUCUGUACAAAGCUAUUCAUUGCAGAAUUGACUGUAAAACAAUGGAGCCAACUCAAUGUCUAUCAAUAAGGAACUGGUUAAAUAGUCAGAUUUCCAUAUGAUGGAACACUCUCCAGUCCAAGAAAGGAGGAGGAAGUCCUUACCGCUCUGAUAUAGGACAAUUGCCAAAAUAUAUUUUAAGUAAAAAAAUUCGAAGUGCAUAAUCAGGGAAAUAAAAAAUUUAAACCACAAUGAGUUAUGAUCCCACAUGUAUCAGCCUGUAACAUUUUAAAAACUGAUAAUUCCAAGCAUCGGCGAGGGAGUGAAGCAAAGGGAACUCUCAAAGAGCUGGCAAGUAUGUGAACUGACACAACCACUCUGGGAAACAGUUUGCCCUUAUCAACUGAAGUUGACAAUAAUGUGUGUUCCCUAGGCCCCUGCAAAUGCCCCACGGAAAUCCUUACCCCAACCAACUCCCCAAACAUACAUACACACCAGGAGAAACAAUUAAGAACAUUCACACAAGCACUGAUCCUAGCAGCAAAAAAUUGGAAGCAACCCAAAUGUCCUCAAAUAGUGCAAUGAAAACUUAAUUGUGGUGUCUUCAUACGAUGGAAUUCCAUACCAGAGUGAAAAUGAUUGGCAUCACUCAACUGAACCUCAAGACCCUUAAUCUAAUCGUGGCUGAGAUACAAGCAAGCUGUAGAAGACUGCAGGCAGUACACUUCCUUCUCUUCAAAAUCCAAAAAGAUGAUAAGCUCCUUGAGAACAGACACCUUAUCAGGGCUUAGAACAGUACCUGGCUCACGG